CGCUUUUUUGCCCAGUCAGAACUUGACCGCCGAUUCAAGUCCUAAAGGCCUUUGUCGAGCAGCAUCGCGACCCCUUUGGGGGCGAGCCGAUCUGCAAGGUCUUGCGGAUUGCCCCG
rfam:Burkholderia sp. lig30 ctg10, whole genome shotgun sequence.